rnacentral:lncRNA from 1 species
CUGGGGAAGGCAAAACUCACAGGCUUAGGUAGGGCGAGGGAGUGAAGUGCUUAUAAUUUUAAAAGAAACGAUAGGACCUAAUCCAGCAAGUCAAGGCCUGAAUCUGGAAGAGAACCCAGAGGCUAGAAUCCUCCAAAUGUUAUUCGCGCAUGGUUGGAAAGGACACUUGAUGUAAGAAAAGAAGCAAAUGAAGGAAACAGAAGAGGCUCAACAGCAAAACAGGUUUAUUUGGGACAAACCUGUGCAGGAGGCCUAUUGGAGACAGAGACCCAUCUGCCAUUGCUAGGGGGCUGUCAGGGAGGUCCUCACCUCCAUUUUUUGAGGUGGUCACUGUUCCACCUUGAACC